CCUACGGGAGGCAGCAGUGAGGAAUAUUGGUCAAUGGACGAGAGUCUGAACCAGCCAAGUAGCGUGAAGGAUGACUGCCCUAUGGGUUGUAAACUUCUUUUAUAUGGGAAUAAAACGUUCCACGUGUGGGAUUUUGUAUGUACCAUAUGAAUAAGGAUCGGCUAACUCCGUGCCAGCAGCCGCGGUAAUACGGAGGAUCCGAGCGUUAUCCGGAUUUAUUGGGUUUAAAGGGAGCGUAGGUGGAUUGUUAAGUCAGUUGUGAAAGUUUGCGGCGAAACCGUAAAAUUGCAGUUGAAACUGGCAGUCUUGAGUACAGUAGAGGUGGGCGGAAUGCGUGGUGUAGCGGUGAAAUGCUUAGAUAUCACGAAGAACUCCGAUUGCGAAGGCAGUUCACUGGACUGCAACUGACACUGAGACUCGAAAGUGUGGGUAUCAAACAGGAUUAGAUACCCGUGUAGUC
rnacentral:rRNA from 1 species